CCUACGGGGUGCUGCAGUGGGGAAUAUUGGACAAUGGGCGAAAGCCUGAUCCAGCCAUGCCGCGUGUGUGAAGAAGGCCUUCGGGUUGUAAAGCACUUUCAGUGGGGAAGAAAGCCUUGGGGCUAAUACCCUCGAGGAAGGACAUCACCCACAGAAGAAGCACCGGCUAACUCCGUGCCAGCAGCCGCGGUAAUACGGAGGGUGCGAGCGUUAAUCGGAAUUACUGGGCGAAAGCGCGCGUAGGCGGUCUGAUAAGCCGGUUGUGAAAGCCCCGGGCUCAACCUGGGAACGGCAUCCGGAACUGUCAGGCUAGAGUGAAGGAGAGGAAGGUAGAAUUCCCGGAGUAGCGGUGAAAUGCGUAGAGAUCGGGAGGAAUACCAGUGGCGAAGGCGGCCUUCUGGACUGACACUGACGCUGGGGUGCGAAAGCGUGGGUAGCAAACAGGAUUAGAUACCCUGGUAGUC
rnacentral:rRNA from 1 species